rnacentral:tRNA from 8 species
GGGGCCAUAGCUCAGCGGGAGAGCACUUGGCUGGCAGCCAAGGGGUCGAGGGUUCAAAUCCCUCUGGCUCCACAA